UACGGGGGGGGCAAGCGUUGUUCGGAAUUACUGGGCGUAAAGGGCUCGUAGGCGGCCAACUAAGUCAUACGUGAAAUCCCUCGGCUUAACCGGGGAACUGCGUCUGAUACUGGAUGGCUUGAGUUCGGGAGAGGGAUGCGGAAUUCCAGGUGUAGCGGUGAAAUGCGUAGAUAUCUGGAGGAACACCGGUGGCGAAAGCGGCUCACUGGAUCGAAACUGACGCUGAGGUGCGAAAGCUAGGGUAGCAAACGGG
rnacentral:rRNA from 1 species